UAAAUAAAUAAAAAUAAAAUAAAAAUAAAAAGACUAGUAGGAAAUACAUGAUUUGGAAAUAAAAAAUAUUCACUAGAUUGAUGAUGCUAAUUGGCUUUUUACAAACCUAGGAAGAAAAAUAUGUUGCAAACAUGGAGGAAAGAUGAUGGCCUCCUUCAACAGAACUAUGAGUUGUCCAAGAUUUCACAAAGUUCUUCAAGCAUGGCAUUUGAUGAUGAGCCCUAAGAUGACUUGAGCCUCACGUCAACUCUCUUUGCUACACGCCCCUCUUUGGAGACCACCACUUCAUGCAAUGGGGAGUGACAUUAGGGCUGAACUUUAAGAAAGAGAACUCUGACAGUAAUGAGAAGACAGAAAAAGAGAAUGACCAGAUAUCCAAAAUGGGAUCGUAGCAUCGAACAUGAGAAGGCCAUGCAUAAGAUGGGUUUAGAAAGACUUGGAUUCAACAAGAGCCUCCAUUCUCCCCUUAUUGCAAUCACCAUGUGAAAAGAAGAGCACUUGGAGAAAAAGGCAUUUUACAUUUGCAGAAGCUCCGCUCAUGGGGUCGAAAUGCAUGCUGCCUCUACCACACUAUAACCGAC
rnacentral:lncRNA from 1 species